rnacentral:rRNA from 1 species
AACGAACGCUGGCGGCAUGCCUAACACAUGCAAGUCGAACGAGACCUUCGGGUCUAGUGGCGCACGGGUGCGUAACGCGUGGGAACCUGCCCUUAGGUUCGGAAUAACUCCCCGAAAGGGGUGCUAAUACCGGAUAAUGUCUUCGGACCAAAGAUUUAUCGCCUUUGGAUGGGCCCGCGUUGGAUUAGCUAGUUGGUAGGGUAAAAGCCUACCAAGGCGACGAUCCAUAGCUGGUCUGAGAGGAUGAUCAGCCACACUGGGACUGAGACACGGCCCAGACUCCUACGGGAGGCAGCAGUGGGGAAUAUUGGACAGUGGGCGAAAGCAUGAUCCAGCAAUGCCGCGUGAGUGAUGAAGGCCUUAGGGUUGUAAAGCUCUUUUACCCGGGAUGAUAAUGACAGUACCGGGAGAAUAAGCUCCGGCUAACUCCGUG